rnacentral:rRNA from 1 species
UACGGAGGGGGCUAGCGUUGUCCGAAGUUACUGGGCGUAAAGCGCGCGUAGGCGGGUUGGUAAGUCCGCUGUGAAAGCCCGGAGCUCAACUCCGGAGGGUCGGUGGAUACUGCCAGUCUUGAAGGUGCUAGGGGGAGAUGGAAUUACCGGUGUAGCGGUGAAAUGCGUAGAUAUCGGUAGGAACACCAAUGGCGAAGGCAGCUCGCUGGGACGGUACUGACGCUGAGACGCGAAAGCGUGGGGAGCAAACAGG